rnacentral:rRNA from 1 species
GUCGAGCGGACAGAAGGGAGCUUGCUCCCGGAUGUUAGCGGCGGACGGGUGAGUAACACGUGGGUAACCUGCCUGUAAGACUGGGAUAACUCCGGGAAACCGGAGCUAAUACCGGAUAGUUCCUUGAACCGCAUGGUUCAAGGAUGAAAGACGGUUUCGGCUGUCACUUACAGAUGGACCCGCGGCGCAUUAGCUAGUUGGUGGGGUAAUGGCUCACCAAGGCGACGAUGCGUAGCCGACCUGAGAGGGUGAUCGGCCACACUGGGACUGAGACACGGCCCAGACUCCUACGGGAGGCAGCAGUAGGGAAUCUUCCGCAAUGGACGAAAGUCUGACGGAGCAACGCCGCGUGAGUGAUGAAGGUUUUCGGAUCGUAAAGCUCUGUUGUUAGGGAAGAACAAGUGCGAGAGUAACUGCUCGCACCUUGACGGUACCUAACCAGAAAGCCACGGCUAACUACGUGCCAGCAGCCGCGGUAAUACGUAGGUGGCAAGCGUUGUCCGGAAUUAUUGGGCGUAAAGGGCUCGCAGGCGGUUUCUUAAGUCUGAUGUGAAAGCCCCCGGCUCAACCGGGGAGGGUCAUUGGAAACUGGGAAACUUGAGUGCAGAAGAGGAGAGUGAAUUCCACGUGUAGCGUGAAAUGCGUAGAGAUGUGGAGGAACACCAGUGGCGAA